rnacentral:rRNA from 1 species
GUGAGGAAUUUUCCGCAAUGGGCGAAAGCCUGACGGAGCAAUGCCGCGUGAAGGAUGAAGGCCUAUGGGUUGUAAACUUCUUUUCUUAGAGAAGAAUAUUGACGGUAUCUGAGGAAUAAGCAUCGGCUAACUCUGUGCCAGCAGCCGCGGUAAGACAGAGGAUGCAAGCGUUAUCCGGAAUGAUUGGGCGUAAAGCGUCUGUAGGUGGCUUCAAAAGUCUCCUGUCAAAGAUCAGGGCUUAACCCUGGGCCGGCAGGAGAAACUCUGAGGCUAGAGUUUGGUAGGGGCAGAGGGAAUUCCCGGUGGAGCAGUGAAAUGCGGAUAGAUCGGGAGGAACACCAAAGGCGAAAGCACUCUGCUGGGCCACAACUGACACUGAGAGACGAAAGCGAGGGGAGCAAAAGGGAUUAGAAACCCCUGUAGUCC